rnacentral:tRNA from 1 species
UGUCCAGGGUCGGGAAUCGAACCCACAACCUUCUGCUUACCGGGCAGGUGCCAUGUCCACUAGGCUACCCUGGAC